UGGGGAAUAUUGGACAAUGGGCGAAAGCCUGAUCCAGCAAUGCCGCGUGAGUGAUGAAGGCCUUAGGGUUGUAAAGCUCUUUUACCCGGGAUGAUAAUGACAGUACCGGGAGAAUAAGCUCCGGCUAACUCCGUGCCAGCAGCCGCGGUAAUACGGAGGGAGCUAGCGUUGUUCGGAAUUACUGGGCGUAAAGCGCGCGUAGGCGGCUUUGUAAGUUAGAGGUGACAGCCCGGAGCUCAACUCCGGAAUUGCCUUUGAUACUGCAUCGCUUGAAUCCGGGAGAGGUGAGUGGAAUUCCGAGUGUAGAGGUGAAAUUCGUAGAUAUUCGGAAGAACACCAGUGGCGAAGGCGGCUCACUGGACCGGCAUUGACGCUGAGGUGCGAAAGCGUGGGGAGCAAACAGG
rnacentral:rRNA from 1 species